GAUGAACGCUGGCGGCGUGCUUAACACAUGCAAGUCGAACGAAGCAUUUGCGACCGAUUUUUUCGGAAUGAAGUUGCUUAUGACUGAGUGGCGGACGGGUGAGUAACGCGUGGGUAACCUGCCUUGUACUGGGGCAUAGCCGCUGGAAACGGCAGGUAAUACCGCAUAAGCGCACAAUGUUGCAUGACAUGGUGUGAAAAACUACGGUGGUAUAAGAUGGACCUGAGUCGGAUUAGAAAGUUGGUGAGUUAAAAGCCCACCAAGGGGACGAUCAGUAGCCGGGCUGUGAGGGUCGCCCGCCACAUUGGGACUGAGACACGGCCCAGACUCCUACGGGAUGCAGCAGUGGGGAAUAUUGCACAAUGGAGGAAACGCUGAUGCAGCGAGGCCGCGUGAGUGAAGAAGUAAUUCGUUAUGUAAUGCGCUAGCAGCAAGGAAGGUAGUGACGGUACCUAACCAGGAAGCUACGGCUAAAUACGUG
rnacentral:rRNA from 1 species